CAUCAUUCAUUCAUUCAUUCAUACCGUAACUAUCAGGCACUACCAUUUGCCAGGUAUUGUUCUGGGCAUGGGGAAUGUGACAGUAACCAGGACUGACAAGGGCCCUGUCCUCGUGGGUCUUCCAUUCUAGUAAGAUCAGGAUGGUUCCAUGAGAGGUGACCUCAGAGGGGGAGUGGGCUGGCCUCAGCCAAUAAGAGCCACCCUAAAACACCAAGAGCUGCCUUGUCACGAGUGACAACAGUGUGCUAGUUGCUAAGCUGUGAGCUCUACACACGUUAUCUUGUCGAUGCUUUAUAAGGAUCCAACAAGGCGUUAACCUCACUUUACAGACGAGGAAACUGAGGCAGAGAGGUUAAGUAAUGCCCUAAUCUCCAACCAGUACGUGUCAGAGCUGAGAUUCAGACCCAGGUCUGUCUGACUCUCAAACCAGCGUUCGUUCCUUCCUCACCAUGUGUGUCCCCCAGCCUGCCCUGCCUUUCACAUGCCAAGGAGACAGUGGGUAUAAACCUGUUCUACAAACUGUGAGGUGCUACUCGUGGGAGGAAUGACUGAAGUGCUAAACGUUCGAUAGAGGCCUCCCUGAAGCCCCGGAGCUCUGCGAAGGCUGUGCUUUGGUGCUGCAUGAAAUCAAGCUGAUAAAAUGCUCUUUCUGCCUGACAGGGCGCAGAGCCCAGCAGAGCAGCCACGCCUGUCUGUGAUGGCCGGAGGCUGCAAGGGCUCACACCUGCCUCCUGGUCCAGCCGCCGCUCAGCGGGAGGCUUGCAGACGCUGCCCGGGAAAGCCUCCCCCAUCUGUGCAGCAAAAGGAGAGCAGCUGGCCUGAGAGUCCCUCUGCAUGAUGCAAUUAUUCACAAUGUAGAGUCACAGAGCGCUGGAGCCGGGAGGAGCUUUCCAGAUCCCUCCGGGGCUGGGCCGCUUAUCUCAACAGCAGCAGUCACACAUCUCUGAGGCAACAAAGCUCGAAGCUGUCAUUUCAAAGAGCCAGGAAUUUUGCACACAUGUUACAAGUGAGGAAACUGAGGCUCAGAGAGGAUGAGAGACUUGCUUAAGGUGACAGAGUAAGUCCGAGGCAAAACCAAGCCAGACUUCUUUCCUGCAAAGCAGGUGAGGACAUCUCAAUGUCUGCGGCCUUGCUCUGUCCCCCUCCCUGUGAAAGCAGGCCUUCGGGGCACCCCUACUCUCCACGUGCCUGUGCCUGAGGCCUCUGGGGCAAGCCUGGAGCAGGAAGAGCUCACAGGCAUUGCUGCUGAACCCGAAGCCAAGAGGUGCUUGUUCAUGGGGGGCUUUCACGAGGCAGCCUGUGAACGGGUGAUGAUACUGCCGCGUCCCAGGCGUCAGCCUCAUGGUUUGCAGCGACCUCCUGGCACCAGGGUGGCACGUCGUGCACUUUUCAGUGAGCCUGACCAUGCUGGGUAAUGAGAGACCAGUGCCAGAACAUGCACUUCCCCAGACGGAAUGAUGACCCAGUGACUGGAGACAGGGAGGUGGCUCCACACGUCCUUGAGAGAGUCACCAGGGAGUGGCUGGGCACCAGGAUGGGGAGUCUUCCUGCGGCUCUAGAGCAGAGAGAAACUCCUGCGCCUCAGGCGUUGUGCGGGCCACAGAUGUGUUUUACUUCACCUAAUGGUGCUUAAAAUUUUUAGACUUCAUAGUCAGUAUUUAAACUGACUCAGUGAUUUCACACGAACACCCAGAUUUCUGGCUUCUUCUGAAAUGAGACACCCGGCAGCACAGGGCCUGUCUGUGUGCACGUCACCGCUCACGAGCUGGGCUCCUGCCACCAUCCUGCGUCUGGGCUGCCUGUCCACACGGCUCGUCCUGGUUCCAGAGUCAAGUGAAUGCUUGGAAGGGCUUCUAACUCUAAGGACAUUUUUGAAGUGAGUGUGGCUACUGUUCUCAAGUUAGUUAAAGAACUGGAGAGAGUGAAGUGGUGACUGAAAGCAGUUGAUGUGGGUGAGGACAACUCUACCUCAGUGUUGGAGAAACUGCUGCUGUUUUAGCAACUGGAUGAGAAUUCCCUUCUCGGGAGCCACGACUUGGUGGAAAGUGAAGCUCUGGGAAGGCAGGUGCCACUGGCACCACGUGUACAGAGGAGGCCAAACCCACCCUGGGAGCCGGUGGGACACUGUCUGCUGUACAGAGAGAGAGCAGAGAGCAGCAGGACGGAAGCUGGCUGGACCACACGCUCCUUCCCCACAGACUUCUGCACCUUCAGGAAGUUCUACAAAAAUUCAGGACAUGUUUGAUGGGUGAGAUGGGAAGAGGGGUGACCCUGGCAAAAGGACUGGGACUUGUCCCGGGGUGAUGUGGGGUGGAAGAGAGAUGGUAUCCGUGAACCAGGAGCUGCACUGUGCCCACCAGGAAGGCUGGGAUCGGGAGGAAAUUUCUAGCAGGCUCGGGAUGUCCUCCCCACCUUGGGGGUUGAGGCAGUACUUCCCAGAUCUCACGGCCCACAAGGGCCCAGCUGACACUGGGAUAUGUGGAAAUAUGGGUUAACUAUUCAUGUGAUCACCUGAUUUUUGUAGAAGCAGGGUUAUUGACUGGAAAUGUCUGUGGGCCAACCCUGGGCAAGCAAGCUCCUUCCCCUCUCAGUGCUGACAUCUGGUGAGCCUGGGGUGGCCACACCCGACGGGAAGCACAGGCCCCUGGUCGGCUGCCUGGAGUCUGGCUGCACCCACCCUCAGCAGGACCAGGGUGCCCACCACCCUGAGAGCAGAACCUGGCUUUCUUCCUGUGGUCCUGGGACCAACCUGGGUGUCUGGGCCUCUGCCUGUCAGGGUAG